rnacentral:rRNA from 1 species
UACGGGGGGGCAAGCGUUGUUCGGAAUUACUGGGCGUAAAGGGCUCGUAGGCGGCCAACUAAGUCAGACGUGAAAUCCCUCGGCUUAACCGGGGAACUGCGUCUGAUACUGGAUGGCUUGAAUCCGGGAGAGGGAUGCGGAAUUCCAGGUGUAGCGGUGAAAUGCGUAGAUAUCUGGAGGAACACCGGUGGCGAAGGCGACAUCCUGGACCGGUAGUUGACGCUGAGUGAGCGAAAGCCAGGGGA